UACGUAGGGGGCUAGCGUUGUCCGGAAUCAUUGGGCGUAAAGAGCGUGUAGGCGGCCCGGUAAGUCCGCUGUGAAAGUCGGGGGCUCAACCCUCGGAUGCCGGUGGAUACUGUCGGGCUCGAGUACGGAAGAGGCGAGUGGAAUUCCUGGUGUAGCGGUGAAAUGCGCAGAUAUCAGGAGGAACACCAAUUGCGAAGGCAGCUCGCUGGGACGUUACUGACGCUGAGACGCGGAAGCGUGGGGAGCAAACAGG
rnacentral:rRNA from 1 species